rnacentral:rRNA from 1 species
AGAGAGAGACAUGCGCGCAUAUCAAUAAGCGGAGGAAAAGAAACUAACUAGGAUUCCCUCAGUAACGGCGAGUGAAGCGGGAAGAGCUCAAAUUUGAAAUCUUCAAGGUUCUACCUUGACGAAUUGUAGUUUAAAGAAGUGUUUUCUGUUGGAGUUUUGGUAAAAGUUCUUUGGAAUAGGACAUCAUAGAGGGUGAGAAUCCCGUAUUUGACCAUUAUUUCCAGCUUUGUGAUACACUUUCAAAGAGUCGGAUUGUUUGGGAAUGCAGUCCAAAAUGGGUGGUAAAUUUCAUCUAAAGCUAAAUAUUGGCGAGAGACCGAUAGCGAACAAGUACCGUGAGGGAAAGAUGAAAAGAACUUUGAAAAGGAGAGUUAAACAGUACGUGAAAUUGUCAAAAGGGAAGCGUUUGACACCAGUGUUGUUUUCUCGAAAAUCAAUUAAAAAAGGCAGGAUUUUGUGUUGUAUUGACUUUAUCAGCUUUCUGCACUCUUUUCUUGUCUUUUUUAAUGCACUUUUCGUUUAACAAGUCAACAUCAAUUUCUUUUGUUGUAAAAGGGUCAUUGGAAGGUGGCUUUCUUUUCGGAGAAAGUGUUUAUAGCCUUUGGCCUCUGCAAUCGGAGAGAUUGAGGUCUGCAGCGUAGAUCCUUCGGGGUUAGAUACAUUUGUGCUAAGUUAUAGCCUUUCAUAGACAACUUGUUGACUAUGAUCAGUCAUGUAGCUUACUCGCUUAUGCUAUUUUACCUACGCUUAGGAUGUUGAUGUGAUACUGCGAGCA